GGUCUUAUAUUCAAUAAUGAUUUUAAAUUGCAAAUUUAAAGGUAUCUUAAAAGGUUAAGGCUU
rnacentral:tRNA from 1 species